ACAGGACUCCUGCCCCAUGCCGGCACCUCCAUCCGCUUCUCUGAGCCUCGUCCACUCAUCUGUGAAGUGGGCGUAACUGUGGCACCUGCUCAGGCCGCCUGGAGACCAGGAGGCGAGGGGAUCCUCAAUGCUCAGAACGGAGAGUGGCAGGCAAGGGGCCUGGUCUGGAAAACUGAUCCCCAGCAAAGCCUCCUGCUGAGUGAUGCCUUCGUGCAGGUCCCGCUGGUGACUGUGGCCCAUGGGAUGUCAGCUCUGCAAACCUGCAGCAGCGUCACUCAGCCCUCUGAGCAAGGCCUGGGAGGCAGCGUCCCUGUGGAUUCGGCAUCUGCAGAGACUGCACCAUGAACAGCGUUCACUCAGGCGGCAGGUGAUGGCCAGGACUCCCUAAGACAGGGGACGCAGAAGGAAGGGGCAGCAGGCUGUGCCCUGGGGGGAUCACACUCCCCUGCUCACAGCUCAGGGGAGCUGGGGGUGGGUGCUGGAUCCCCGGAGGCAGCAGGAGGCCCCUGCCUUCAGCCCAGAGUGAGCCUCCCCUUUGUCCCGCCUCCCAUCAGCUUGAAGCUGCCUCAGUUUCCCUCCCUCCUGGCCCUCAUGAACCUCCUGGUGGGUCCAGGGCUUUGGCCAGCAGAGCUAGUGCAUGAAGUGUGGAGAUGCGGGAUGGCAUUGCCGCCGGCAGGGGCCCCACAAGCCUGCAUGCAUGCUGUGUAGACUGAUGAGCCGUUCACGGCACUGGCUCAAACCACCCAGAGGGGAGUGGGGGAUGCCCACAGGUGGGGACACUGAGGCACUGAGAAGGGACCUACCCAGGGUCCUGCCUAAAAAGAGACAUCAGGAGACGCCUGGCACAGACAAGACUCAUUUCUCCGGGCGCCUCCCACUAAGCCCUGCUAUAAAUCCAGGAAACUGCACGCACAGUGGACAGAAAAUUCCAAAGCAUGCAAGUGGUCAGGGCCCAGGUGGAAGAGACAGCCGGGUGACAGGAAGGAGGAGACCCAGGCUGGGCAUUUCCUGACUCCCAGCCUAGCAAGAAAAGGUAGCUGGGGGGGGGGGCCCAUUCCUCUGCCAGGUGCAACAGGGGACUGGAGCAGGGGGCUCGGCACAGCAAACCACACCCGGAAAGCCCCUUGGUCCCCAUGGGCCUGAGACCCUCCUCCCCACCAAGAAGUACAGGUGGCGUUGGCAGGGGAAUGCCACAGCAUGCUGGCUCGGCACAGGAAGUGGCCAUGGGGUAGAAACUUCCUUCCCCAGCUAGAGCUGCCACAUGGCCUGGGAAACCCCUGGCCCCUCAGGAAGCACCAGUGGAAACUCUGCCAGCACCAGAUCAACCAAGGAUACCCAGACGGCACCACCCAUCCCAAAGAGUAAAAAUGUCAGGAACUACAGCUCAUGACACCAGCCAGGACCUGGUGCCAACCUACAGGGCGGUGGCCUAGGAAAAUAAAGUACGUCCACAGGACUCAGAGUCUCUAAGCAGGGCCAAAAUGCCCAGCAUACAAGCAAAAGCUGCUCAUCACAGCAAAAGCCGGGGGACACACACGUGAAUGAGAAAAGACGAUGAAUGACACCAGUGCCAGGACCAGCUCAAGGCUGAGGACACGACCAGGAAGCCAGGGUUGCCACCACAGGGCACCAUGACAAAGCAAUGCACUCUCCAGAAACAAAUGAAGUAGAAGACCUCAGCAAAGACACAGAAGUUAUCAGAAAGAACCAAAGGGAAUACACAGAGCUAACAAUUACAAACACAGAAACAAAACUCUCAAGAUGGACUCAGUAGUAAAGUGAAGAUGGCAGAGGACACAGCCAGUGAACCUGAGGACACAGCAGAAGAAUGGGCCCAAUAGGAACCAUGGAGAGAGAAAAGGAGGGAGGAAAGGAGGAGGGAGGAAGGAAGGGAGGAAGAGAGGGAGGGAGAAAGGAGAGGAAAAAGGGAGAAGUGAGGGAGGGAGGGAAGGAGGAGGGAACAGAGGAAGAAAAAAUGAACAGAGCUUCAGGAACCAGUAGAACAAUAACAAAAGACCCACCCGAUUUUCAGGAAGAGAAUAGGACUGACUGAGGAUUUGAGUAAGAAAUAACUGAAUACUUCUCAAAUGUGGUGAAAAACAUAAACUCACAGAAUGAGUGAAAAUAAAAAUACAUCAAAAUAUGUGGUAUGAAACAGAGCUUAGAGGGAAAUUUAUAGUACCAAAUACUUAACAUUAGAAAAGAGAAAACAUUGCAAAUCAAUCAUCUAAGUUUUUGCCUCAGGAAACUAG